rnacentral:rRNA from 1 species
UUAGAGUUUGAUCCUGGCUCAGAUUGAACGCUGGCGGCAGGCCUAACACAUGCAAGUCGAACGGUAGCACAGAGAGCUUGCUCUCGGGUGACGAGUGGCGGACGGGUGAGUAAUGUCUGGGAAACUGCCUGAUGGAGGGGGAUAACUACUGGAAACGGUAGCUAAUACCGCAUAACGUCGCAAGACCAAAGAGGGGGACCUUCGGGCCUCUUGCCAUCAGAUGUGCCCAGAUGGGAUUAGCUAGUAGGUGGGGUAACGGCUCACCUAGGCGACGAUCCCUAGCUGGUCUGAGAGGAUGACCAGCCACACUGGAACUGAGACACGGUCCAGACUCCUACGGGAGGCAGCAGUGGGGAAUAUUGCACAAUGGGCGCAAGCCUGAUGCAGCCAUGCCGCGUGUAUGAAGAAGGCCUUCGGGUUGUAAAGUACUUUCAGCGGGGAGGAAGGUGUUGUGGUUAAUAACCGCAGCAAUUGACGUUACCCGCAGAAGAAGCACCGGCUAACUCCGUGCCAGCAGCCGCGGUAAUACGGAGGGUGCAAGCGUUAAUCGGAAUUACUGGGCGUAAGGCGCACGCAGGCGGUCUGUCAAGUCGGAUGUGAAAUCCCCGGGCUCAACCUGGGAACUGCAUUCGAAACUGGCAGGCUAGAGUCUUGUAGAGGGGGGUAGAAUUCCAGGUGUAGCGGUGAAAUGCGUAGAGAUCUGGAGGAAUACCGGUGGCGAAGGCGGCCCCCCUGGACAAAGACUGACGCUCAGGUGCGAAAGCGUGGGGAGCAAACAGGAUUAGAUACCCUGGUAGUCCACGCCGUAAACGAUGUCGACUUGGAGGUUGUGCCCUUGAGGCGUGGCUUCCGGAGCUAACGCGUUAAGUCGACCGCCUGGGGAGUACGGCCGCAAGGUUAAAACUCAAAUGAAUUGACGGGGGCCCGCACAAGCGGUGGAGCAUGUGGUUUAAUUCGAUGCAACGCGAAGAACCUUACCUACUCUUGACAUCCAGAGAACUUUCCAGAGAUGGAUUGGUGCCUUCGGGAACUCUGAGACAGGUGCUGCAUGGCUGUCGUCAGCUCGUGUUGUGAAAUGUUGGGUUAAGUCCCGCAACGAGCGCAACCCUUAUCCUUUGUUGCCAGCGGUCCGGCCGGGAACUCAAAGGAGACUGCCAGUGAUAAACUGGAGGAAGGUGGGGAUGACGUCAAGUCAUCAUGGCCCUUACGAGUAGGGCUACACACGUGCUACAAUGGUGCAUACAAAGAGAAGCGACCUCGCGAGAGCAAGCGGACCUCAUAAAGUGCGUCGUAGUCCGGAUUGGAGUCUGCAACUCGACUCCAUGAAGUCGGAAUCGCUAGUAAUCGUAGAUCAGAAUGCUACGGUGAAUACGUUCCCGGGCCUUGUACACACCGCCCGUCACACCAUGGGAGUGGGUUGCAAAAGAAGUAGGUAGCUUAACCUUCGGGAGGGCGCUUACCACUUUGUGAUUCAUGACUGGGGUGAAGUCGUAACAAGGUAGCCGUA